rnacentral:lncRNA from 1 species
AUGCUCUCUUCAAUUAAAAAAGGGAAAAGGACAACAAAAGGGGUAACUCCAGCAGGAGUGGAAGCAAUGUUACACAAAAUUCCUGAACUGCAGUCUAAGCAACUGCUGGAAUGUUUGAGGUGCCAAGCACAGAGAAAUUAUGGUGUGUCUUCUUCCCCCACCCCAUGGGGUAGCGAGCUGCAAGAGGAGCCUUGCAAGAGGUUGUUGAGGGCUGGGGCAAAAGCAGGGGUGUUUUAUACAUGUACCUACCAGGAGUGCAGUCUGGUGCUCAGGAGACCAUUCUGGAAAAUGGGAUGACCCAGGUUCUGAUGCAUGUCAUUCCCAAAUCUGAGUGUCUUGGAGUUAAUAUAUAAAAAAUAGAAUAAAACAAUUUCUGAAGCAGACA